rnacentral:rRNA from 1 species
GAACCAUUGACAGUUUUUCUUGGAUAAAAUCUAGAUUCUCAACAGGGCGCACAACUCACGACUCAGCACAUACCUGAACGCAGCAGAGAAGGACCGGGGCGACUCAGCACUAAUUCCUGGGAGGAGGAGGAGGAGGACGUACACGCACGGGAGGGUCGAUGGAGAUCGACGGCGACCUCCUCGUCACCAGGGCCGAGAUCACGAACGCCGCGGCGGCCACGUUCGCGGACUCAACCGUGAUUCCCGACAGGUACGCCCGGCCGGACGAGGUCGGGGACGGGGUCGUGGUGGGCGACGACGAGAGCCACGAGCUGCCGCUCGUAGACAUGGCGAGGCUGCUCGACUCGGAGUCCUCGGAGGCGGAGACCGCCAAGCUUGGCUCUGCGUGUCGAGACUUGGGCUUCUUCCAGCUAACAAACCAUGGACUUGACGAAUCGGUUGUGCAAGACAUGAAGAAUAACGCUAUGCAGUUCUUCCGCUUGCCACUGGAGAAGAAGAACGCGGUGGGCAUCCAGGCCGGCGGCUUGGGAGGGUUUGGGCACCACUUCACCGGACCAUCCCGGGACAAGUUGGACUGGGCAGAGAGCCUGAUACUCACGACGCAGGAGAACGAGCAAACGAACGUGGAGUUCUGGCCAGCCGAUCCGCCAACAUUUAGGCAUUCCUAAUACACUACUACUGGGAUGCACUCGAAAAGUACUCGCUCCAGAUGUCUGGUCUCACGAGGCGCCUGCUAGGGUUCAUGGCGAGCGACCUCGGAGUGGAGCGGGAGGCGCUCGACAGGGCCUUCCGGGGCAAGAGGCAGACCGUGGCCAUGCACCACUACCCUCCAUGCCGGCACCCGGACAAGGUGAUAGGCAUCACGCCGCACCACGACGGCCUCGGCCUGGCGCUCCUGCUGCACGUGGACGACACCCCCGGCCUGCAGGUGAAGAGGGACGGCAGGUGGUUCCCGCUGGACCCGCUGCCGGGCGCCCUCGUCGUCAACGUCGGCGACAUCCUCCAGGUCCUCACCAACGGCAAGUACAGGAGCGCCGAGCAUAGGGUGUUGGUGGACGCCGAGAGAGGCCGGGCGACCGUGGUGAUGUUCCAGGACGCGUCCGUCGCCGGGACGGUGAAGCCGCUCCCGGGGCUCGGCGAGGCAAGGUACAGGGAGAUCGAGUACGGUGAGUAUGUCAAGGGGAAUUUCAGGGGGCUCGCUGAAGGGACCAGGUUCGUGGACAGCCUCGAGACCAAUCGGUUUUGCUAAUGGGUAUUCUGUUGGCUUUGUUUUAGGUGUGUUUUGUUUGCCUCGGCGUGUGCGUGUGUGUGGGUUGUGAACUUGUGGUUGUGUGUUCUUGCCCUAAUGCCCUGUGUGCGCGCGCGCGCGCGCGUAUAUGUCUCCGUAUGGA